rnacentral:rRNA from 1 species
UUGACCUCAAAUCAGGUAGGACCACCCGCUGAACUUAAGCAUAUCAAUAAGCGGAGGAAAAGAAACUAACAAGGAUUCCCCUAGUAACUGCGAGUGAAGAGGGAAAAGCUCAAAUUUGUAAUCUGGCGGUCUUUGACUGUCCGAGUUGUAAUCUAGAGAAGUGUUACCUGCGCUGGACCAUGUACAAGUCUCCUGGAAUGGAGCAUCAUAGAGGGUGAGAAUCCCGUCUUUGACAUGGACUUCCAGAGCUUAUAGGUGUGCUCUCAAAGAGUCGAGUUGUUUGGGAAUGCAGCUCAAAAUGGGUGGUAAAUGCCAUCUAAAGCUAAAUAUUGGCGAGAGACCGAUAGCGAACAAGUACCGUGAGGGAAAGAUGAAAAGAACUUUGGAAAGAGAGUUAAACAGUACGUGAAAUUGCUGAAAGGGAAACGCUUGAAGUCAGUCGCAUCAGUUGGAAAUCAACCUUGCUUUUGCUGGGCGUACUUUCUGUCUGAUGGGUCAGCAUCAAUUUUGAUUGCUGGAUAAAGUUCUUGGGAAUGUGGCAUCUUUGGAUGUGUUAUAGCCUUUGGACAUAUACAGUGGUUGGGAUUGAGGAACUCAGCACGCCGAAAGGCUGGGCUUGUCUACACUACGUGCUUAGGAUGCUGGCAUAAUGGCUUUAAUCGACCCGUC